rnacentral:misc_RNA from 1 species
UGCGUUCGGAAGGCCAUCCAAGGCUGCGUCGACUCGGGCACUUGGAGUCCUCAUCUUCAAGAGCAACAUCUCUAUCCUAUGUCGUCUCGGGAGUUGGAAUGUAGGCCUGGGCUCACUUGUGCCUCGGCUCCUACAUGUCUCCCUAGGCAGAACGUCAUCUCGGGAGGUUACCAAGUUUUACCCGGUGACGGGAUCAGUUCCGAAACGGUAGAUGUAGUUUGGUCUGGCUCCUGGCCAGUAAGUUACGGGACGGGAGGUGACACUACUCGAUUCAUGCCACCCUAUACGCCGUCUCCGUAGCAUCCAUUCGUCGGUAGCAGAGCGUCUUACGCACCUAUCGUCUAGCGGGAGAUCGUAGACGGGUCGUCUUGCGGUCCUAUGCGCCGGUAGCGAUUCGGUAGAUCGGGAGGCGGGAGAUGUUGGCGAUGCUGUCAUCAGCCGAUGGUCCGGUCCACCGCGGGAGAGCGCACAUCGAUAUUUUGAUUGGCACGGAUGACGUCAGAGUUGUACCCUUGGAGGAAAGGGCCCGGGAGGUCGUCGUAGGUCGUCCUUGGCUCAACUCGUCGGUAUUUUCCCAGGUCACAUAAGAGAAUAUUCGGAACAACAACAAAAAUUAGCUUAAUAUACGGAAUAUCUCUUAUUUCAAUUUAGCCUUGGUGAUUCGUUUCGGUGUGCUGGAGUUUUCUAUUUUAUUAACGAAAAACGGGAGGAAAUUCGGGGAGAUUUGGGUGCCGUAGUAACGGGGCUGAAAACGCCACGUUACAACUCCCCUCCCCGUGGGGGAAGAGCGGAUAGGUUUUCAACCUUCGCUAACGAAAGAGAGGUCACGAAUUGGCCGUACUUUAGAUCUGAGUUACGUAAGUGUCAGGACGUUGGUGAUACUGGAUCAUGAAGAUUCUGAUGGUGGUCGGAAAUACGCGAGCGGGGGUUUAACGAAAGAAAUGUUCCAAAAGCCGCGGGCUGUUACCGGGUCACUAAUUUUUACCGGGCUACUAAGAGCAGCAUUAGACGCACGAAUUGCCGAAGUUGCGGCACUCAAGACGGAAAAUGUUGAAUUAAAAAGCCCAUUGGAGGCACCAAAAAAAAACAGAGGCUCAGAUAGAGGUCGAGGCUCCGGUCCCAGCUCUGAUCGCCCGGCCCCCUGUGCUUGCGCGGUCGUGCUCCAAAUCCCCGCGACCGUUCACAUUAGCGGAGGAUCUGCAGAUCCUCCACUAUUUAAGGGAAGAGGAGGCGGGGCGCUUAGCCAGAUACCGUGGGAUGGCGGUAUGGAAUGAGCUCGCGGCGAACGAACUAAUACCGGGGAGGUCGGCGCACACAUUGAGCGGCCGUUUCAGAAAGGUACUGCUGAACCGGAUAGAGGAUUAUUCGAAGCUUCCCGAUAGUGUUCGAGCGGCGGUGAUCGCCGAGCGGGACGACCAGCUGUAGGUUAAGUUAGGUUUUGUUAACAAUAAGUCAAGUUAUUUUGAUCGACCGUAAGAUUAACAGGCAAUUUAAAAAAAUUAUUCCCGUCUAGGAUACCAAACGUGCGCGUGAAGGUAUGUAGUAAUAUGUUUUGUAAUAUCCCCUGUCAAUAUUCGAUAAAUUGUACCUAAUCUUGUAACAUGAAAAAAAAAAAGGAAAAAAAAAAAUAACCAAACGUCGUAAGUGGCGCCCAACGUGGGGACCCGGGAAACACCCACGUGCCUUCGGCGCGAUCUGUACGAAACGGGAAACGGAAAACGGAACGAAAAUUACACCGUAACCAAGUUGACGCCAAAUAUUAAUUUUUUUCAAAAAACCAAACGCCAAAAAAUUGCUCACGAAUUGCUCUUUCGAAAUACACAAUUGCUCUA